rnacentral:lncRNA from 1 species
GGAUAUAAUUUAUCCGACAGGAUUUUCUAAUAUCCGCCACCAUCUUCCGUCACCUAAAGCUAAUAUUGUAGUAGUGAUGGGCAAAUUUAUGGUGUAUCUUGAACACCAUCGCAUGGUGUCACAAUUUCACACAAAUGUUUUAGUUGCACAAAUAUUUAUUGUAUGUCAACAAAUUUGUUAGUUUUAUAUGUUUGGGUAGUGUUACUCUUAUUAACAAUAUAAUUGAUCUCUCUUAUAGGUCAACUCUUCAGUUACUUCUUGUCGCAGGGAAAGUAUUAUGUUCUUUCCGUUGAUGAGGGAAUUAAUAGUUGAUUCCUUGUUAGAGAUUAUUGAGAAUUUGAGAUUGUAUCUCGAUUAAAUGAUGUCGUUGUGGUUGCUUAUUUUCUUUAGAGGUCAUAGAUAGAGAUCAAUUAUGUCCUCAAUAAGUCAUGCAGCCGUUGUUUGAUUGUUCUUCUUUGAAUAUGAUAGGGACUGCAUCUCCAAUAACCAAUACCCAAAGUAUCUAAUUAGUCAAAUUAUAACAAUAUAUUGUUGAAAUUUUGAAACAAAUUAAUAAUUAAAAAAUUACGAAAUUGGGUAACCUUAAGUUAUCUUAAAUAUAUAAUUAACAACCUUCCGAUCAUGUUCAACUUCAACCUUUGUAGUUCAACCAACCACCCACCUUUUCACCAAAAUAUAUGCAUAAUCUUCUAUUACACCAAUACAAAAGUCGGAUUAAUUAUGUAUGAUUAGACGUAUAUGACUGGUUUCUUAGGAAAUACAUACCGGUUUUCUAUUUCAUGAUCCACCUAUUGUUUUACAGAUUCUUGGUUAAAUGGGAUUAGAUUAAUGGCGGUCUGGCUUCAAAUCGUGGUGCUGCUUAUGAAUUUAUUUCAAGUUUUGGUUGUUUAC